AUUGAACGCUGGCGGCAGGCUUAACACAUGCAAGUCGAGCGGGGAAGGGUAGCUUGCUACCGGACCUAGCGGCGGACGGGUGAGUAAUGCUUAGGAAUCUGCCUAUUAGGGGGGGACAACAUCUCGAAAGGGAUGCUAAUACCGCAUACGUCCUACGGGAGAAAGCAGGGGAUCUUCGGACCUUGCGCUAAUAGAUGAGCCUAAGUCGGAUUAGCUAGUUGGUGGGGUAAAGGCCUACCAAGGCGACGAUCUGUAGCGGGUCUGAGAGGAUGAUCCGCCACACUGGGACUGAGACACGGCCCAGACUCCUACGGGAGGCAGCAGUGGGGAAUAUUGGACAAUGGGGGGAACCCUGAUCCAGCCCUGCCGCGUGUGUGAAGAAGGCCUUAUGGUUGUAAAGCACUUUAAGCGAGGAGGAGGCUACUCUAGUUAAUACCUAGGGAUAGUGGACGUUACUCGCAGAAUAAGCACCGGCUAACUCUGUGCCAGCCGCCGCGGUAA
rnacentral:rRNA from 1 species